AAUACAAGAUUACUGCCACUUCAAUCGUCGCUCCGAUGGGCCCAAGCUUUGACAAUGAACUGAUCCCGAGUGUAAAUUGCUAUCAAUCCAACGAUUGCUCAAUUAUUAUCAUUUCACAUGUUCGACAUAUGUUUGAUUAUAUCUAAACGUUGCGCGUAAAACAUCUCGGCUUUAUAUCAAGAAUUAUCAGAGCGGUGGCGGUGGACAAGACAAGCAGAGUCAACAUCGCCAGCGGAUAGAACAGCGUACGCCUGACCCACCACGUGCUCCUCUGUCGAUCCAACAGCUGUCGCUGUCUCUGAAUGUCUUCUAGCCUCUCGGCAAGGCCUUUUUGUAAAGCACCAUUUCUGAGGCACAUCAGACUUGGAUUCACGCUCAGCAACGGCUCAUCUUCCUCCAUUAAUGAGCUACAACCUGGUAGAGACAUCGGCACCGGUGACACGUACGACUUACCCGUCGCUUUUACAUGCUGCAAUCUGAAUAUAUACGCUGAAUUGUUAUAUUGAAACUAAGCCAACGCAAUCGACGAGAUUUACGCGAAAAAGAGAGGACACAUUUACCGUCGGCGGAUGCAAUCUUCCUCCAAUCUAUAUUUACACGUGCAUGUACAUGCCUUUACUUACUGAGCAAUGUGUGCAAACUUGAGUUUUGAUGAUCUAGCAGGGCAGACAGCACGUACGUCAUUCCCAAUACGAGAGUGCCCAGCAGAAAAAGAACAGUCAGUGUCUCGUACACCCUCGCCAUCACGCCCUAUGAUUAGAAUUAUUUCAAUAAGGCGAAACGGAAGAGGCGCAGUUAUGCAUCACUGCACUGAAUUAUUGAGUGGCCCCGCCUUACCCUUUUAUGGCCCAUGAAACCCUCCGACUCUGUGAAAAGAUAAAUAGCCGGGUGUGCCUGGCGCGACAUUCUCGGCCACGCGACUGGCAAGUUUCCCGGCUGAAAGCUGAGAAUAGGACUGAUGGAAGCAGGAUAGAUACGAACGUCUGAGGCGAGAACAAUGUACGAAAGCUCCGGUUGUAUACAGAGCAAAUCUAAAAAAAGAGCCGAAGAAUUUGGGAGCACCUAAAAAAAAACACGAACGAAAAAAUAAUCAUAUGCUCAUGGGUCAG